ensembl:rRNA 5_8S_rRNA 5.8S ribosomal RNA
AACUCUCAGCGGUGGAUCACUCGGCUCGUGCAUCGAUGAAGAACUAAUGUGAAUCGCAGGACACAUUGAUCAUCAACACUUCGAACACACUUUGCGGCCUCGGGUUCCUCCCGGGGCCAUGCCUGUCUGAGGUUCG